AGUGAACGUUGGCGGUAGGCCUAACACAUGCAAGUCGAACGGCAGCACAGUAAGAGCUUGCUCUUACGGGUGGCGAGUGGCGGACGGGUGAGGAAUACAUCGGAAUCUACUUUUUCGUGGGGGAUAACGUAGGGAAACUUACGCUAAUACCGCAUACGACCUACGGGUGAAAGCAGGGGAUCUUCGGACCUUGCGCGAUUGAAUGGGCCGAUGUCGGAUUAGCUAGUUGGCGGGGUAAAGGCCCACCAAGGCGACGAUCCGUAGCUGGUCUGAGAGGAUGAUCAGCCACACUGGAACUGAGACACGGUCCAGACUCCUACGGGAGGCAGCAGUGGGGAAUAUUGGACAAUGGGCGCAAGCCUGAUCCAACCAUACCGCGUGGGUGAAGAAGGCCUUCGGGUUGUAAAGCCCUUUUGUUGGGAAAGAAAAGCAGCAGGUUAAUACCCCGCUGUUCUGACGGUACCCAAAGAAUAAGCACCGGCUAACUUCGUG
rnacentral:rRNA from 1 species